GAUGAACGCUGGCGGCGUGCCUAAUACAUGCAAGUCGAACGAACUGAUUAGAAGCUUGCUUCUAUGACGUUAGCGGCGGACGGGUGAGUAACACGUGGGCAACCUGCCUGUAAGACUGGGAUAACUUCGGGAAACCGACGCUAAUACCGGAUAGGAUCUUCACCUUAAUGGGCGAUGAUUGAAAGAUGGUUUCGGCUAUUACUUACAGAUGGGCCCGCGGUGCAUUAGCUAGUUGGUGAGGUAACGGCUCACCAAGGCAACGAUGCAUAGGCGACCUGAGAGGGUCAUCGGCCACACUGGGACUGAGACACGGCCCAGACUCCUACGGGAGGCAGCAGUAGGGAAUCUUCCGCAAUGGACGAAAGUCUGACGGAGCAACGCCGCGUGAGUGAUGAAGGCUUUCGGGUCGUAAAACUCUGUUGUUAGGGAAGAAUAAGUACAAGAGUAACUGCUUGUACCUUGACGGUACCUAACCAGAAAGCCACGGCUAACUACGUGCCAGCCGCCGCUGUAACAC
rnacentral:rRNA from 1 species